rnacentral:misc_RNA from 1 species
CCGUUGGAGCUUGCUCCAUCUGGGAUAGAACCCUUGAUUUUGAGUACCUUUUCGUUUCCUCGGCGGGUUCGCCCGCCGGUGGACAACCAAAACUCUUUGUAAUAGCAGUAUCUUCUGAAAAAAAAAACAAAUAGUCA